AGUGAACGCUGGCGGUAGGCCUAGCACAUGCAAGUCGAACGGCAGCACAGUAAGAGCUUGCUCUUACGGGUGGCGAGUGGCGGACGGGUGAGGAAUACAUCGGAAUCUACUUUUUCGUGGGGGAUAACGUAGGGAAACUUACGCUAAUACCGCAUACGACCUACGGGUGAAAGCAGGGGAUCUUCGGACCUUGCGCGAUUGAAUGAGCCGAUGUCGGAUUAGCUAGUUGGCGGGGUAAAGGCCCACCAAGGCGACGAUCCGUAGCUGGUCUGAGAGGAUGAUCAGCCACACUGGAACUGAGACACGGUCCAGACUCCUACGGGAGGCAGCAGUGGGGAAUAUUGGACAAUGGGCGCAAGCCUGAUCCAGCCAUACCACGUGGGUGAAGAAGGCCUUCGGGUUGUAAAGCCCUUUUGUUGGGAAAGAAAAGCAGCAGGUUAAUACCCCGCUGUUCUGACGGUACCCAAAGAAUAAGCACCGGCUAACUUCGUG
rnacentral:rRNA from 1 species